rnacentral:miRNA from 1 species
GCUCUGAGCUGCCCCUCCUCGUCC